UCCUCCACAAAUGCAUAAAAUUGUGUAAUACCCUUCAGAGUAAGCUCAUCCAUAAGGUUAAUGAUAUACGGCUUACGAAGAUAUCUAUCGUUGAAGUCCUUUACAGUGACAGGAAAUGUAGCUGAAAACAAUAGGAUUUGACGGUUUGAAGGAAGAAAUUGAAUCAGCUGCUCUAUUGAAGGCUUGAACUCUGGGGAGAGAAGUUUAUCAGCCUGAUAGAGAGAGAGAGAGAGAGAGAGAGAGAUAUAAAACUUCUGUUUGAUGUAUAACUCACUACUAAAAGCAAGGAUGUUUAAAGUGCCAUAGAAUGAACAUUAGUGAAGGACACAGGUGAACAUGUUCAGAUAUAUGUUUACAACACAAAUCAGAUGCAACAGAGUUGUUGCAUCUGCUUCAAACUUGAUAACACAACUUACUCAAGGAUAGAAAUGCCUCAAAAGUCAUGCAUUCAAUUUUGUAAAAGUUUAAAAAUAGUUUUUUUCAAUGCAAAAUUUCUACUUAUGGAUUCAUUACGGUACAUGUUAGCAAAGACCCAUUGUAAAUUUUAGGUAAACUGUCAUUACCUCAUCCAUGACAAGCAUAGAACAAUCUUUCAGAACACAGACACCCUUCUUUGCAAGAUCCAAUAUUCUUCCGGGAGUACCAACUAGCAGAUGAACAGGUUGAUAUAAACGCAUAAUGUCAUCUUUCAGGCUGGUACCACCUGUUGUGACCAUAACUUGAAUUUGUAAAUGCUUUCCAAGCUCUUUACACACUUGAGAUGUUUGCAGAGCCAAUUCUCGUGUUGGAACCAGUAUAACAACUGCAUCACAGAACAAAAUAAAAGGCAAUGAUCAAAACAUUGGUAGAACCUAAAUCAAUAAUCACUCAAAAAACACAUCCUCUGCUAUUUUCAACUAACUUCGACAAUUGGCAACAAAAAACACAAUUUUGUCAAGUAAUUAUCUAUAAACAGUAAAUUAACAAUUAAUAUUAAGAACAAGGAAUAAUUAAUGGAUAUACAAAAGACUGUAUUGUAGCCUCACCUAACUUAUAAUCCCUCCGGCGUGAAAUAUAAGUGAAAUUUGACCAAAAGAUGCAUAUUAAGAAAAGUAGUUGAUCACAUUUAAUCAAUGCAAUCUCAAAGAAAAAAAUAAGCACAUUGCCUAAAUUACCCUUCAUGACUAAUAAUUUGAUUCAUUGAAAAUACAAAAAUUAAAUUAAAUGAGGGGUAUUUUAGAGAUGCUAACAUUAAAUAAGAAAACUUUUCAAUUUGCUUAUAUUGCAUUCCAAAAACAUAUGAAGUAAAUUGUGCUUAUAACUCAUUAGAGUGUACAUUCGUCAGAUGUUGAUAUUCUUGACAGCAAUGAUGGAAUGUCUAAAACAACAAUAACAACGUAUCUACUAAAAACAAGUUUGUUCCAAGGUAACUCCAAAAUUUAUAUUAAAAAUGAAAAAUCUCAGGAACAAAUUGCUCCCAAAACGUAAGUGUGUUUUUGGUCAAACUGGUGAAAACAGAUAUGUAGCCAAACUUGUUUAUCUGAAUACAAAACGAAAUUAUUAAACUAGCAGGACCUACCCUUUAACAAAUUCCAUUUUAUUUUUAUUUUUCAAAUUUAAUAAAACACAGAUGAGUGUGCUGACAAUAAAUAAGCAGUAGGCUACCAGAAUGAAACUGAGACAUAAUAAGGCAUAAACAUGUAUAACUUCAGAUCCUCAAGUAAGCAAAGAGAAGGAAGCACACCUUGAAUAACAUUUUUAUCUUGAUCAAUUUUUUCCAAUGCAGGAAUGCUAAAUGCAGCUGUUUUGCCUGUUCCAUUUUUAGCCCUCGCAAGAAUGUCACUGCCAGUAAGGGCAAUUGGAAUGCUUUCUUCUUGGAUAGGGGAAGGCCUUUCAAACCCCUUCUCAUAUAUUCCCAUUAGCAGCUCACGCUUCAAAAAGUAAUCCUCAAACUCAUUUCCCUUAGUUGCUGUCACGUCCUGGGUAGAAAAAUUAACAAAAGGUCAAGACUGGACAAUGUUUAAAUGACUAACACCAAGAUGAUAUAACAUUUACCAGGUCUUCAAAACGAUAUUAUGAAAUAUCAUUUGGAAAUAUAGCCACAAUCUGACAUCUAGCACUUAAUUUAGGAUAAAAAAAAUUAAUUCUAUAAUAAUAAAAAAUAUUAUUUCCUAGAUUUCUAGAGGUGUAAUAAAUGAUUAAUACUAGAGAAGAGUUUUCAGUUUUACAAGCAUGCAUGUUUCUACUAUAAAUUUUAGAGUCUUAAUCGUCUAAUAACUGAAAGCACGGGCUAUACGGUACAAAAGAUGACAUGAAUCAACAAAGUGAAAGCUAAAACCUAUGCAGAGAAUCAAUUCCUACAACAGAUGUGUCCUGUUCUGUACAAACUUGAAGAUCGCAACCCCAAAGAAUAUAUGAUCAAAACAUAAUGUAUAUUCUAAAUAAACAAUCACUUGGAAUCAAGGUAGUCAAAGUCGAGAUGCAGUAACAGGGUGGGGUGGGUCACAAGAUCGAAAAUCAGGGCAUCGUAACAAGGGUCGUAAAAUUCACUUUGAAACAUGUAUAUAAAAAAUCAUGCAUAUGCCUAAAAAAUAUAUAUAAGUGGAAAAACACUUUGAAACACCACAAUUACUUAAUCAAUAAACAAAUAAAUUUUAUACUUAUUAAAAAAAAAAAUAUAGCAUACUAUCUUUUCUUUCGUUAUUAUCAUUGUCAUCAUCAUCAUAAUCAUAAUAACUAUUAUUAUUAAUGCAAACUUUUAUCAUUAUAUGUAUUAAGUAUGACAACCAAAAAAAUUACCAAAAAUAAAAAGAAAGCAAAACGGUAAAUUAAUAGGCAAAGCGUGUAAGUAGUUGGUAACAAUGGGUUUGAAACUGAAGGUCGCAGCCUUUCAUGGUAUUUUGGGGUUUUUGUAAGCCAGUGUCAUUUUGAAAAAAGGAAAGCGGACCCAGCCUGUGAAACACAUCUCCGUGUAACACAAUCUGCAUCUGCAGAACUCGUUUCUACCAGUCUAACGUCUAUGCACGCGGCGAUCCCAGCCACUCGCACUAAUUUCUGAUUCAAGCCACUCACAAACACGGCAAGAGGUUGCAAGAUCGUGAAAGCGUAGGAUUCUAUGCUCCAGAUCGCGAUUUUGUCUACCUCACUUGGAUUAUAUAUAUAUAUAAAGGAUAAUAGCUUUUAAUUGUUCAGAAUCAUACCUCUGUAGGCAAAACGGUAAAUUAAUAGGCAAAGCGUGUAAGUAGUUGGUAACAAUGGGUUUGAAACUGAAGGUCGCAGCCUUUCAUGGUAUUUUGGGGUUUUUGUAAGCCAGUGUCAUUUUGAAAAAAGGAAAGCGGACCCAACCUGUGAAACACAUCUCCGUGUAACACAAUCUGCAUCUGCAGAACUCGUUUCUACCAGUCUAACGUCUAUGCACGCGGCGAUCCCAGCCACUCGCACUAAUUUCCGAUUCAAGCCACUCACAAACACGGCAAGAGGUUGCAAGAUCCUGAAAGCGUAAGAUUCUAUGCUCCAGAUCGCGAUUUUGUCUACCUCACUUGGAUUAUAUAUAUAUAUAUAUAUAUAUAUAUAUAUAUAUAAAGGAUAAUAGCUUUUAAUUGUUCAGAAUCAUACCUCUGUCCUAUAGCGUGUAUCAGCAGCUGGAAUCUUUAAUCUUGCCUUCCAAUCUUGUGAACUAAACAAAAUUAAUUGAGAAUAUGAUAGAUUGCUUUCAACAGAUAGAAAAAAGCAAAUAAAAACAAGAUUCACUGCACUCUAAGAUAAGAAAAUUACAGUGGAAGCAGAUAAAUUGCUUUCAACAGUAAAAGAAAUUAAAAAAAAAAAGCUGAGCUCAUAUACUCAAGCUAUCAAAAUUACACGUGAACCAUAUCAAUAAACAUUAACGGAGAAAAUCCUUCAUAAGAAUAUCGGCUUCUCUCGAACAGUUACAUAUCAUCUGAUACACUUGGGCAAACAACCACUCAUGCACAAAUAGAUAAACAUCGAAAAAGAUCUCAUGCCCUAACAUCAAAAAUUCAACACCACAAACAUACAAAAAUGUAUUCAUUAUUUGAAAAUGCAUAUGAGUAACAGAGUCACAAACAUGGUAAUAUUGUCAAUUGCAGAUCAUGGAAAAUAGUGAUUUGUUCAAAUUCCGCUACGCAACACUGCUAUAGUACUGCUAUAGUGCUGCUACAGCCGCUUAUCCACAAUAUUUUGUACUAAAUAGCAAAUAGUGGAACAACAGCAGUUUGUUAGUGCUAUAGUGUCGUUGUAGCCGCUAUUUAACAACAUUGAAACACAAGACAAAUAGUAAUUACAAGACAAACACACAAACAAUUAUACAAAUGUAAAAAGUCAAGCAACAAAAAGAGCAAUCACCUAGGGUCAUUUGUUUCAGACUGUACAGUCUUCUCAACCUCCUCGACAACAUUGGUGUCAGUACCACCACCCAACUGGUUCCUCCUCAGCCACUGUUGCUGCUGCUGCUGCUGCUGCUGAUACUGUUGUUGAUUCUGUUGAUGAUGCUGAUAGUGUUGUUGAUGCUGAUUCUGAUUUUGCAUCAUGUGCCUCUGCACAUACUGUUGUUGUUGUUGUUGUUGAUAAUGUGGUCUCUGUUGAAACCCGGCGUUCGCAUUGUUCGGGUUUGAGUUCAAACCACCACCACCACCACCACUACCACUACCACUACCUCGUCCUAACCCAAUCCCAGGUGGAUAUCUCCCUCUAUUGUUAUUGUUCAUGAUUCAAAGUUUCAAAUCCGAAAAAUUUCUACCCAAAAAGAAUGUACAAUUAACUAAACUCAACUACAAACCUAGGGUUUCUUCUGAAUCGCUGAAACGAUAAGUAUACUCAAACCCCGUAAGUCGAUGAAUUCUCAAGAUGGGGUUACGAUUAAAGACUAAAGUAACGAAAUCUUGGAAGAAAAAUGUGAAAUUUCUAAGGGUAUGAUACAACUACAAGAUCACCCAAAAGAAUUUGGUAGGGUUGAGAAUUUGACAAAAAUUUGAGGAUUUUUGUACAGAUCUACGCUACAAGAGAUGUUUGAGUAUUAGGUUUGAAUCGAGAAGCGAUUUGUUGCAGAAAUCGAAGAAAGGAAAAUUGAUUUGAAGGGUUACGGUGAAGGCGCUCUAUGUUUCAGUCUUAGUGUUGUUUCAUUUCCCUAAGUUUUACACCUCAAGCGUCAAGGUCGGUAGGGUAAAGGCGCUCUAAGAGUUGUCUCUAUGUAUCAAACAAUUCUUCCUCUAAAGUGGGGUGCCAUCUUUUAAAAAAAAAUAAUUAAAAAAGGGUCUUCGACCUAAGAGCCGACUAAUUCGAGAGGUCUAAUCCCACCAUUCAUUUGUGGGAGUCCAUUUAAAGUUAGAUCGUAGUUUUGUACGGACUUAAUCCAUCAAAAUUGACACUAGAAAAAACCAAACCCGAAACCUUGACUGGAAUAUCAUCUUGAUGACGUUGUACAUUAGUUAUCUACAUAAAUGAGUUAUUGUCACAAGCUAAAGGGCACCUUGUUUAGAGACCCCUUAACUAUUUGACUAGGGAUUUGAUUUAUGUCUGAUGCAUAUGACGAAACAUAUGUAAAAAGUCUUCAUUUAAUUGCACACGUGAAUAUGAUGAUGAUGACUUCACCUUAUCAUCUAUUUCAAUCUUUUUUUGCUUCAAAUAGUGGAUUCUUUUCUGCUUGCCUAAAUAAAGUAAUUUCAUUCCCUAUACUUGAAUUCUUAAUAGGAGUAAAAUAUUUGUUAAAAAAAAUUAGUCAAAGUAUUUCAUAUAACAAUAGAAUGUUUCUAUAUAGAACUUAAACAACUUAGAGUUAUCCUCGAGUCAGUACGGGAAAAACCUUAACUUGAACGCAACAUCAAGUGAUUCCAUAAGUUAUGAAGUUGCCUGCCACACAUUUAAAAAUUUAUUGAGAUGUAAAUGUGGAUCUUCGACAAGAGCUCCACUCAACUUCCCCAUAAUUUGCAGCAUAGAAAGGUAAUGCUACAAUUUAAUUUAAGCAAUCUAAGAGAAGGACGGUUAAAUUUAGUAAGUUUAACAACUCGACGAUUAGAUAAGAAGUGAUGUAAGUAAAUAAUUAUGUAUCCCUUAUUAUGUAAUUGUUGUGUUUGUACGUGAUGCUCUAAGGUUAUUUCUUGUUAUCACGAAAAAGCUUUAUAAAUAAAAGAAAGAAUCAUAGCAUGAACUUCUUCUUUCAAUAUUCCAUUUUAACCCUAUAAUCUUAAGUCUCCAUAACAAAUAAAAGUUACCAACACUUACUCUGGCACAAGUAGCACACAUUUGGGGUUCCUUAAACUCAAUUAUACAUUUUUUUAAAACACUUAAUUAAUUAUUUUACUUAGUUAACAUCCAAUUUAUUAGUUCUUGUGAGCAUAACUCAGUUAAUCGGUAAGAACAUCACAUUUUAUAUGCAAGGGUCACGGUUCAAACCCCAAAUUUAAUACAUAAUUGAUUAACUCAACACUCUAAUCGACGAGUCUAUAGGAAUACGCAAUGACGACUUUAGUGAAGGGAUCACUAUUGGCCUCAACAAUCGAGUGGUGGGUCAUGUGGACGUUAGGAUUGAGGGAAAAUGUGUCAUCAAAUAUAACGAUAGUUCAUUAGCAAGUGCGUUCAUUCAACAUCUUCAAGUAUUAAAUUCAUUUUGAUAUAUAUUUCAGAUUAUCAAAUUUGAAUCUUUUCUCAAAGUUCAAAAGCAGAAAAAAAAAUUCAAAGGGUUGCAACACAAUUCAAAUACCCUCUUUCUUGUGAAUCUCUUCUCAAAGUUAAGAAUAUAAGAAAAAAUAAACAAAUUUGGUUUUAGGAUGGACUAAAAUUGUGUGAAGGAUAAUUUUGUAGGGACAAAUAACAUAUCUAACCCUUUAAAAUUUGUGCAACUUUUUUCAAGGUUGUGGAAAUUUUGUCUUCUCUAAACAGCUCCUUCAGGUUAAGAUUCCGACUCGACAUAAGAUUUUUUUCAAGAAGAAUUAUAGUUGAUCCUGGUGGUAUUUCUUUUGUUUUCUUUAAUGUGCAUGUACAAUUGGUUUAUCACAUGUCUUUUUUUAGGUUGUGGUAUCUUGUGUUUAGGUGGUUGGAGUGGAAGUUUGUUUUCCCUUCAAAUUUAGCGAAUCUUCUUAGUAUUAUAUAAAACUUAGGUGGAGGAAAAAGGAGAGGUUAUGUUUCUUAUUUACCGGCAAACUAUUGUGUUGACCACGUGUCGAUCUCAAAAUGCUCACCUUUUUGGAUAAGGAGACGUUUGUGCACGCACAGGUUGCAGGUGGAUAAGGUUAAAUUCACCUAUUGAAAAUGGUUAUUAAGAAAACAUUCUAGUCAAAGUUGUUCCUUCUAUGAAUGAUGGUUUUUUUGGUGUUGUUUUACCUUUCAGCUUUCGCUCUUGUUUUAAUGCGGGAGAGAUUCUUUGAUUUUGUCAUCCCAUGACUACUACUUGUACUCAAUUUUAUAUACGUUUGUACUUCUAAUUUUUAUUUAUAUAUAAUAUAUUUGCCAUUCAAAAGAAACCAACACAAAAGAGGUCACAAGAACCUCCUAAUUGUGGUAAACCGUUUUUCACUUUUAUCAUGUGAACUGAUUGAUGAUCAACCUCGAAUGUCAUCCGUGGAUAGCUAGGAUGAAAACAAUAGUGCCAAAUAAAUUAUCCAGAGAAAUUGAAGAUAUACCAUCAUCACCUUUUAACAUGCAAACAUAAUAUGAGAAGCAAAUUCCCAAGGGAACAAGAAAAUCAUUGUGUGAACCACAAUGACAACAAAAGACUCAAAUGACAUAAUGGAAUAGCCAAUAAGGAAGGGGAGCAUCAUAGUAAGGCAUAUUCCUAAACAGCUUACCGACGAAAACGGGAAAAAUCUAGAGUAAUAACAGUCGCUAACAACCACAUAUGCAAAUGCAAUCCACGGAAACAAAAACAAGACCGAACAACUAUCUGGCAUUUAAAACCCUGUUGUUCAACUUUAGGUCCUAAGCAUGUUUCAGGGCUCUUAAAAGCGGAAAUUAACAACAAAACAGUCGACAAAAGGGUCUAUAAAUGCCCUAACUUCCUCUUAUUGCAUACUCACUCGGAGCAUAAUUAACGACAAAACAGUCAACAAAAGGGUCCAACAAUACCCUAACUUCCUUAUUGCAUCCUCAAACAGAGCAUUCACACCUGCUUGUGUGGCAGUCACGUCAAGCUGGAAAAAAAACAUACACAUCAAUCGGAGAGAGAAACAACAGCAAGUUAAAAGAAUAUUUAAAUUAGAAUAAAAAAUCAUUUAGUUGGUUAAGCUUUGGCUUAUUUCUUAUAGAAAUGGAAGUGAAUUUGACUUUUCCAGACGAGGGGUGCAUUUAGAAGAUAAAGUGCAGAAUUAUACUGGUUCAAUGGAAAACCAGUGAUUGAGAUUUAAAUGAUUAUAUGGUUUGUUAAUUUAAUCCCAUUGAUUCUUCAAUGAACAGUUGUCAUUGCACUUAAUCCUCUAUGCACCGCUUCAAAAUAGAGAAGCCAAAUGGAAAUAUUUCUCUUACUUAACUUUUUAUAAAAAUGAAACAGAGAAAAGUAUGUCCAAUUUGUUUCUAAAAGAAACAAACUUGCAGACAAUUACAGAAAAAUAAAAUAACUAUUUUCACUUAGUCAUAAUAAAAUCUCACAAACAAGAUUGGCUAUCAUCAUUAGAUCAUAAAUUCUCACAAUAUUGAAUAUCAUCAUAAAUAUUAAAGGUAAAUGCUUCCUAUCACUUACCAUUGUGAUUCACCACAGUUGAGAAUACAAACAAGGUAUUUACCACCAAUCACCGACAGUAUACAGCCUGGUCAAUGAAUGGCGGAAUUUGUUUUAUUUCAGUGCCAAGUUCUUGUUCAAUCCUAUACCUGGACAACAUAGAGAUACAGACACAUCAGAAAUCAACAGAAAGUAGCUCUAAAAUUCAAAUUCAUAUCCAACAAAAAUACUUACAGAUUGAAGCGAUCCUCAUAUGUUAUCAAGUUCACUGCUAAACCAAGGUGCCCAAACCUCCCGGAUCGACCAACCUGCAUAUCAACAGAACAUUCAUGAGAACCCAUAGAGAGAAUCAUUAUCGAGGUAGGGGAGAAGGAAGAAAUCAAACAUACCCUGUGCAGAUAUGUUUCUGAGUUCUUGGGAAAAUCAAAAUUAAUAACAACAUUCACUGCUUGGAUAUCUAUUCCUCGAGUGAAAAGAUCUGUGUUUCAAAUGAGAAAAACAAGAAGUUAAUCAUCAGAUCUGUUAUAAAUCUUUUAUUAUAACACAUUAUCACUCAAAAUAUCACCAUUGCAUUAAUGAAUUACAUUAAUUAUAUAAAUUAUGAUACUAUUAACUUAUAAAACUGACCAACAAAUGAAUGGAUAUAAUAUCAGAAAAUGAAGGAAAUAAGAUAAGAAAAAGCUACAUAUUUAAGAAAGUCGCAGUAAAUACAAACAAACAAAAAAACACUCUUGCUCAUCUAUAGCAGGAUACUGAAUUGCCAUUAACAUUAGCAUACCAGUACAAACGAGAUUCCUGCAUGCACCAUUGCGGAAGUCGUGGAAAACUCUAUUACGGUGGUCUUGCAACAUCUUUGCAUGUAUAUAGAAACAUGAAUACCCUAGUUCUGUGAUUUUCUUAGCAAGGAGUUCAACUCGAUUCACCGAAUUGCAGAAGAUGAUGGAUUGGUUUAUUUGCAGCUGAAAUAGAAGCCAUUAUUACUAUCAUAUUCAAAUCUUGCAAAUAAUAAAAUCUACAAUAUCUUGUCAUGGACAUCACAUACCUUAGAAAAAAGAGUAUUUAGGCAGUGGACUUUCUGCCUCUCCUCCACAAAUGCAUAAAAUUGUGUAAUACCCUUCAGAGUAAGCUCAUCCAUAAGGUUAAUGAUAUACGGUUUACGAAGAUAUCUAUCUUUGAAGUCCUUUACAGUAACAGGAAAUGUAGCUGAAAACAUUAGGAUUUGACGGGUUGGGGGAAGAAAUUGAAUCAGCUGCUCUAUUGAAGGCUGGAACUCUGGGGAGAGAAGUUUAUCAGCCUGAGAGAAAGAAAAAUAUAUAAAAACUCUGUUUGAUGUAUGAUUUGCUACUAAAAGUAAUGAUGUUAAAAGUGCCAUAGCAUUAACACGUGCAAAGGACACAAAGGUGAAGAUGAUCAGACAUAUGUGAUCAACACAAAUUAGAGAUCAAAUAGAGCUGCUGCAUCUGCUGCAAACUUAGCAACACAACUUACACAAGGAUAGAAAUUCCUUAUCCUAUCAGACCAAACAGAAACAUAACCAGAUAUCAGACAACACAACAUUCCGUACUCUCAUCUUAAGUCCUCUUCCGUAAAACAAUAUCAUCAAGAACAGUUAAUAAUGCUCCUCUACAGAAUGCUAUAUAGAUUAGUAAAUGGAAAAUGCUAACAUGUGCCCUAAGAGAAAAUGUUAAGGAACUCAAUAUAAACCUUGUCUCAAAAGCUGUGCAUUUAAUUCUUUAAAAGUAUAAAAAAACUAAAAAAUCAACGCAAAAUAUAUACUUUUGGAUUCAUGAACGCACGUGUUAGCAAGACCCUUAGUAAAAUUCAGGUGAACAGUCAUUACCUCAUCCAUGACAAGCAUAGAACAAUCUUUCAGAACACAGACACCCUUCUUCGCAAGAUCCAAUAUUCUUCCAGGAGUACCAACUAGCAGAUGAACAGGUUGAUAUAAACGCAUAAUGUCAUCUUUCAGGCUGGUACCACCUGUUGUGACCAUAACUUGAAUUUGUAAAUGCUUUCCAAGCUCUUUACACACUUGAGAUGUUUGCAGAGCCAAUUCUCGUGUUGGAACGAGUAUAACAACUGCAUCACAGAACAAAAUAAAAGGCAAUGAUCAAAACAUUGGUAGAACCUAAAUCAAUAAUCACUCAAAAACAAACUAGUCAUGAAAUAACUAAAAGCAAUUAAAAAUGAAAGCAUGCAUCAAUACAACAAAACACAUCCUUUGCUAUUUUCAAUUAACUUUGACAAUUGGCACCAAGAAACUAUCAGAACAUUUGUUAUGAAAAAAAAUAGAAGACUCAGUAGGCCAUAACACAAUUUUGUUGAGCAAUUAUCUAUAAAUAAUAAAUUAUGAAUUAAUAUCAAGAACAGGGAACAAUUGAUGGAUACACAAAAUACUGUAUAGUAGCCUAACCUAACUUAUACUCCCUCCGGCGUGAAAUAUAAGUGAAAUUUGACCAAAUUAUGCAUAUUAAGAAAAGUAGUCGAUCACAUUUAAUCAAUGCAAUUUCAAUAAUAAACAAGCACAUUGCCUAAAUUACCCUUCAUGACUAAUAAUAUGAUUCAUUGAAAAUACAAAAAUCAAAUGAGAUGUAUGCUAACAUUAAAUAAGAGAGUAGUGCAAUUUGCUUAUAUUGCAUUCGAAAAAUAUAUGAAGAAUUUUGCUUAUAAUUCAUUAGGGAGAGAGUGCAUUCAUCGCAUGUUGAUAUUAUUGACAGCAUUAAUCCGAUGUCUAAAACAACAACUUAUCCACUAAAAAUAAGGUUGUUCCAAGGAAAUUUUAAAAUUUAUAGUAAAAAUGAAAAAUCUCAGGAACAAAUUGAGCCCGAAAUGCAAGUGUUUUUGGUCAAAAUGGUGAAAACAGAUAUGUAGCCAAACUUGUUUUUCUGAAUAUUCACAAAAUGAUAUUAUUGAACUAGCUGAGUGCUGACAACAAGCAGUAGGCUACCACAACGAAACAGAGACAUAAUAGGGCAUAAUCAUUUAUACUAGACUUCAUAUCCUCGCGUAAACAAAGAGAAGGAACACACCUUGAAUAAUAUUGUUAUCUUGAUCAAUUUUUUCCAAUGCAGGAAUGCUAAAUGCAGCUGUUUUGCCUGUUCCAUUUUUAGCCCUAGCAAGAAUGUCACUGCCAGUAAGGGCAAUUGGAAUGCUUUCUUCUUGGAUAGGGGAAGGCCUUUCAAACCCCUUCUCAUAUAUUCCCAUUAGCAGCUCACGCUUCAAAAAGUAAUCCUCAAACUCAUUUCCCUUAGUUGCUGUCACGUCCUGGGAAGAAAAAUUAACAUAAGGUCAAGACUACCCCAAGAUGAUAACAUUUAGCAGGCCUUCAAAAGGAUAUUAUGAAAUAUCAUUUGAAAAUAUAGCCACAAUCUGACAUGUAGCACUUAAUUUAGGAUAAAAAAUUCUUGUUAAAAAGAAAUUAAGUCUAUAAUACUAGAAGAGUUUUCCGUUUUACAAGCAUGUUUAUACUCUGAAUUUUAAAGUUUUAAUCGUCUAAUAACUGAAAGCAUGGGCUAUAGGGUCAGGGGCGGAUCUACUGUGAAACAUGGUGUGGCAGUUGCCACACCAGAUAUACAUUAAGUAUAUAUAUAAUAUAAGUCAUCAAUGUAUUGAAGUUUCUUUGUUAGUCUAACGGUAUACAUUUGAUGGUUGGCUUGCAGAUCCUGUGUUCAACUCUCGGCGAGUUGCAGUUUUUGAUCUUUUUUUUUAAAUUAUUAAUAUUAAAAAUGGUGUUGCAGGGAAUCGAACCUGUAACACCAUGGUAAAAUGCUCUCACCCAAACCACUUUGCUAUAGUUUUUAAGUUGUUAAAGCUUUACUUUGUUAAUAUAUAUAGUUGCUUUGCAAAUUUUGCCAUACCAAUAUCAAUUGUCUGGAUCCACCCCUGUAUAGGGUACAAAAAAUUACAUGAAUCAACAAAAUGAAAACUAAAACCUAUUCAUAGAAUCAACUCCAUAAAAGAUGUGUCCUGUUCUGUACAAACUCAAAGAUCGCAAAUCCCAAACAAAAUAUAUGAUCAAAACAUAAUGCAUAUUUUAAAUCAACAAUCACUUGGAAAUUGGAAUAUAAAUAUAUAUAUAUAUAAUAUAUAGGAUAAUAGCUUUUAAUUGUUCAGAAUCAUACCUCUGUCCUAUAGCGUGUAUCAGCUGGUGGAAGCUUUAGUUUUUCCUUCCAAUCUUGUGAACUAACAAACAAAAUUAAUUGAGAAUAAAAUUAGAAGACAUUCAUUCCUUAGGUAAAACAAACACAUUAGCUUUAUCUGGCAGUAAUGAUUAAAUUUGCAACAGCAAAGUAUUGGAAAUUGAUUGUAAAAAAAUCAUCUAAGAUUGGAAAAUUAACUAAACCAUAGUGGAAGCAGAUAGAUUGCUUACAACCAAAUCGGGGCAGGAUCGGUGUAAAUUGGGGCAGCGUAACACGGAUCGUAAGAUCCUAUCAGGCUCAUAAAUUGACUUUGAAACAUGUAUAUAGAAUUAUGUAUAUGCAUCAUAGUAGUUAAGAGCGGAUAGCGGUGCGUAGCGGCCGACCCCAAAAAUGCUAUAGCGGGAUAGCGCAUAGCGCUAUGACCGCUAUUUCAUAAAAACAAAAACAACAAAAAUAAAGAAACAGAGAGAGCAGAAUAGAGUUUUAUAUGAAUAAAACAGAGGAUUGUUUGUACAAACUACAAACAGAAACAGAGAGAGCAGAAUGGAGUUUGGAAUCAAUAAUAACAAAGAAAACUAGAACAAAAAAGUAACAGGACAACAGAGUUUUGAGAUUGUUAAACAAAAAAAUAACAGGAUAACAGAGCAAACACGACAAAGUAGAGGAAGAUUUACAGCAGAGGUGAAGAAGUUUUACAGAAAAGCAGAGGAAGAUUUACAGAAAUACCCUUGUUUUUUUUUUAAACCGAGGACAAUUUUGUAUUUUCUCUUAAAAUGAAAUAGCGGUUCUAAACUGCAAAACCGCUACAAAGCGUUGCGCUGCUAUCUCACACCGCAACGUUAUGGCUUGUUGCGUAGCGCUCCGGCACCGCACCGCACGGCCGCUAUAGCGGCGCUAUUGACUACUAUGAUAUGCAUAAAAAGUAUAAGUGGAAAACCACUUUGAAAAACCACAAUUACUCAAUCAAUAAACAAAUAAAUUGUAUACUUAUUAAUUAAAAAGCAAUAUAGCAUACUAUAUUUUCUUUCAUUAUUAUUUUUAAUGCAAAAUUUUAUUAUUAUACGUCUCAAGUUGGCAACAAAAAAAUCACCAAAAAAAAAAACCAGAAGAAAGCAAAACGGUAAAUUAAUAGGCAAAGUAUAUAAGUAGUAGGUAACAGUGAGUUGGAAACUGAAAGUCGUAGCCUUUUGCAUGGUAUUCUAGGUUUUUUCUUAAGCCUAUGGUGUUUUAAAAAAGUGGGGCGCAUACCCGACCCGUGAAACACAUCUCAGCGUAACACAAUCAGCAUCUGCAGAAUCACUCAUUUCUACCGGCCUCACGUCUAUGUGCAGCGAUCCCAGCCGCUCCCACUAAUUUCUGAUUCAAGCCACUCACAAACACGGCAAGGGAUUGCAAGAUCGUGAAAGAGUAAGAUUCUACGCUCCAAAUCGCGAUUUUGUCUACCUUACUUUCAACAGUAAAAGAAAGAAGAAGAAGAAGAAACUGAUCUCAAACUCUCAAGCCAUCAAAAUCAACAAACAUUAACAGCAAAUAUCCUUCAUAAGAAUAUAAGCUUCUCUCGUACAAUUCAAUUACAUAUCAUCUGAUAGACUUGGGCAAACUAACCACUCACUCAGAAAUUCAUAAAUACGGAAAAGGUCCUGUGCCUUAACAUCAAUAAUCCAAAAUUCAACACGACAAACAUACAAACUGUAUUCAUUAUUUCCAUCAACAUGCAUAUGUCUGUAUAACACAGUAAAAAAAAACACAGCAAUAUUGGCAAUUGCAGAUCACGGAAAAUAGCGGGUUGUUCAAAUUUUGCUACUCAACACUCCUAUAGUGCUGCUUGCUACAGCCGUUAUUUCACAAUAUUUUGUACUAUUAAUAGCAUAUUCGUGGAACAAUAGCUGUUUGUUCAAAUUCCACUAUGUUGUAACCACUAUUGAACAACAUUGAAACACAAACAAAUCGUAAUUACAAGACAAACACUCAAACAAAUAUACAAAUGUAGAAAGUCAAACAAAAAAAAGAGCAAUCACCUAGGGUCAUUUGUUUCAGACUGUACAGUCUUCUCAACCUCCUCGACAACAUUGGUGUCGGUACCACCACCCAACUGGUUCCUCCUCAGCCACUGUUGUUGUUGCUGCUGUUGAUUCUGCUGCUGAUACUGUUGUUGAUUCUGUUGAUGAUGCUGAUAGUGUUGCUGAUGCUGAUUCUGAUUUUGCAUCAGGUGCCUCUGCACAUACUGUUGUUGUUGAUAAUGUGGUCUCUGUUGAAACCCGGCGUUUGCAUUGUUCGGGUUUGAGUUCAAACCACCACCACCACUACCUCGUCCUAACCCAAUCCCAGGUGGAUAUCUCCCUCUAUUGUUAUUGUUCAUGAUUCAAAGUUUCAAAUCCAAAAAAAUUCUACCCAAAAAGAAUGUACAAUCAACUAAACUCAACUACAAACCUAGGGUUUCUUCUGAAUCACCGAAACGGUAACUAUAGCGGAACCCCG
rnacentral:lncRNA from 1 species